rnacentral:lncRNA from 1 species
UGAUUCCCUGCAUAUGGCACUUAACGUGUCUGUCUAUGCUGUUAACAUUAACAUGCGUAUUACACAGCGCACAGAAGUCCAGAUGUUAUUCUCACACCUACUGGAGGGAGAAAUUCUGUUGUUUUUGGAGUCUCACCCGUUCUUGUACAUUUGUGGUGUUUUAAUUAAUGUCCUGCAUCGUGUUUGUGCCUCCAGGGUCAGAAAGGUUUCCCCGGUCCACCUGGCCUCCCCGGGGAGCCCGGCGAGCAAGGCCCAGUCGGAAGCCCAGGUGCCAAAGGUUAUCCUGGCAGGCAGGGUUUACCAGGGCCUGUAGGACCAGAGGGGCCUAAAGGCACUCGGGUAAGUCAACUCAGCGUCCUCACCUUAAGUUAGAUUUUAUCGCACUGUGCGACACGCAAAGGUCUGUUAACGGCUGCCCACUGCAGUCGGACCUGCGCCACGCGUGCAUUGCAGGCGCAGCGGCGUCCACCUCCCGCAGACAAGCAUCCCCACACAUGAUGCACGCUGUAGAUAAGCCUCCACGUACAAACACACGCCCUUUAGGCACACGAACAACGCGUCACACACAGACACAAACAGCGAUUUUUAUGUCGCGUUCCAAUAAAGGUUCUUUAUCAGCUUCC